rnacentral:rRNA from 1 species
AGUCGGUCCCUAAGCCGAGGCCGAGAGGCGUAGGUGAUGGGAAACAGGUCAACAUUCCUGUACCAGCAUUAGAAGGUUACGAGUCUGAGGAGGGACGCAGAAGCGAACUUACCGUCGGCUGAUGGAUGCCGAUGCAAGGUGGUAGGCGUUCCCGGGUAGGCAAAUCCGCCUGGGGUAGCCGAGAACCGAUGCCGAAGAGGGCGCAAGCCUUCGCAAAGGGUGGGCGUAGCACGCUGCCGAGAAAAGCUUCGCAGACCACGACUAAUUGCUGACCGUACCGUAAUCCGACACAGGUAGGCGAGGCGAGUAGCCUCAGGGCCUCGAGUGAUUUACGGAGAAGGAACUCGGCAAAAUGACCCCGCAACUUCGGGAUAAGGGGUGCCGGCAGUAUGUGACCCGUCAAGGGGAGCAGAGACCGGCCGCAGUGAAUCGUCCCAAGCGACUGUUUAGCAAAAACACAGGUGUCUGCAAAGGCGUUUUCCAAGCCGACGUAUAGACACUGACGCCUGCCCGGUGCCGGAAGGUUAAGGUAAGUGGUCAGCCGCAAGGCGAAGCUACGAACCGAAGCCCCGGUAAACGGCGGCCGUAACAAUAACGGUCCUAAGGUAGCGAAAUUCCUUGUCGGGUAAGUUCCGACCUGCAUGAAUGGCGUAACGACUUGGGAGCUGUCUCCUCCGUAAGCUCGGCGAAAUAGCAGCAUCGGUGAGGAUUCCGAUUACCCGCGACAGGACAAAAAGACCCCAUGCACCUUUACUACAACCUGUCAUUGAUCGUCGAUAUACACUGCGUAGCAUAGGUGGGAGCCGUUGAGACCCAGGUUUCGGCUUGGGUGGAGGCAACAGUGAAAUACCACCCUUUGUUUAUUAACGAUCUCACUCGGCCGGCAACACCGGCGAGGACCGUGGCUGGUGGGUAGUUUGACUGGGGCGGUCGCCUCCUAAAAAGUACCGGAGGCACGCGAUGGUGGGCUCAGUGCGGUCGGUAAUCGCACGUUGAGUGUAUACGCAAAAGCCCGCCUGACUGCGAGCGCGACGGCGCGAGCAGGGACGAAAGUCGGCGUAAGUGAUCCGGUGAUCCCGUAUGGAUGGGUCAUCGCUCAUUGGAUAAAAGGUACGCUGGGGAUAACAGGCUUAUCGCGCCCGAGAGUUCACAUCGACGGCGCGGUUUGGCACCUCGAUGUCGGCUUGUCACAUCCUGGGGCUGGAGAAGGUCCCAAGGGUCCGGCUGUUCGCCGGUUAAAGUGGCACAUGAGCUGGGUUCAGAACGUCGUGAGACAGUUCGGUCUGUAUCCGUCGUGGGCGUGGGAACGUUGAGGGAUCAGGACUCUAGUACGAGAGGACCGAGUCGUAGUGACCUCCCGUGUACGGGCUGUUCCGCCAGGGGCAGCGCCCGGUAGCGAUGUCACGCAGGGAUAACCGCUGAAAGCAUCUAAGUGGGAAACCCGUCCCAAGAUGAACGUUCCUGGAGCUUAAGCUCCCUUAAGGGCCGUGGGAGACUACCACGUUGAUAGGCCGCAGGUGUACGGCGCGCGAGCGCUUCAGCCGAGCGGUACUAAUCGCCCGUGAAGUUUGAUCUC